rnacentral:lncRNA from 1 species
AUCGCUUACUGGUUUAAAAAAUGAAUAUUUCUUUAUAAAAUGGGACGUAAGAAAUAUACAAAUGAGGCAAAACACUUACUACAAAAAAAAACAGAUGUCUAUAAUAUAUAAAGAUCUACAUGGUCUCAUAAGUAGUAAAAAAAGAUACAGAAGAUAUAAAAGGAGUAUUGAAACGUAGAGGCCGAGAAAAAAAACUGGCAAUGCCAUUUCUAACACGAAAAACGACAAAAGACUAACAGCAUUACAAAACACAUACUACAUAAAAAAAAAAAACCAACCAAAAACAUCCGAAUGAAAGUAACACUUAUUGGUUCCAUGAAAUCCUGGUUGACCUGAUGUAUCCUUGACUAUUAUAACCUAAAAACUGAACAAAACGAACACAAUCAAAAAUGGUAGUGUUUCUGAGUUAACCUUUUAAUAAUAACAUUUCGACAAGUGGACUGAUAUGGAAAAAAAGAAAAAACAAGCUGGAAUUAUUUGUCUUCAUUUUAUGUAUGCUUUGUCACAAUAUGCAUGUUGAUGGUUAAAUGAAACGCAAACUGAGUGUUUUAUGGAGGGAGGGCUUUUUUAUGAUUGUUUGUGGAUUCACUUUUCAUAUUAUGCUGUUACCUCUUUUAAAGGUUUUUGUGACUGUGUUUAUGUCUAAUUUAACGUAACAGUCUCCUUUUAUUCUUAUUAAUGUGGUAGAAGAUUUUCAUAAUUCGAACACAUAAUAAAUACUUCGUCAUUGCAACAACAAAAACAUUUUAUUCAAGGCCAGGUCGAUGUAAUCAAUAAAUUAUUGUUCUUAAAAAAACUAGACAGUUGUGACAAAAUGCCAAAAACGGGAUUAAUAUGCACACAUUAAUUGAUGUUUUAUCAAAAUAGAUUUUUACAGAUCAGAUGCUAUCUCUUUAAUAACUUAAACAUUUAUUUAAGAAAGUUUAUGUCAGACCGACCUGACAAACGACGAC